UACAGGAAGUGCAAACGUUGCUCGGAAUCAUUGGGCGUAAAGCGCACGUAAGCAGUUUGUUAUGUCGGAUGUGAAAGCCCUUGGCUCAACUGAGGAAGUGCAUCCGAAACUGGCAAGCUAGAGUACUAAAGAGGAUCGCGGAAUUCCCGGUGUAGAGGUGAAAUUCGUAGAUAUCGGGAGGAACACCGGUGGCGAAGGCGGCGACCUGGGUAGAUACUGACGCUGAGGUGCGAAAGCGUGGGGAGCAAACAGG
rnacentral:rRNA from 1 species